rnacentral:rRNA from 1 species
UACGUAGGGUGCGAGCGUUAAUCGGAAUUACUGGGCGUAAAGGGUGCGCAGGCGGUUAUAUAAGACAGAUGUGAAAUCCCCGGGCUCAACCUGGGAACUGCGUUUGUGACUGUAUGACUAGAGUACGGUAGAGAGGGGUGGAAUUCCUGGUGUAGCAGUGAAAUGCGUAGAUAUUCGGAAGAACACCAGUGGCGAAGGCGGCUAACUGGCCCAUUACUGACGCUGAGGCUCGAAAGCGUGGGGAGCAAACAGG